UACGUAGGGGGCAAGCGUUGUCCGGAAUCAUUGGGCGUAAAGCGCGCGUAGGUGGCCCCGUAAGUCCGCUGUGAAAGUCAAAGGCUCAACCUUUGAAAGCCGGUGGAUACUGUCGGGCUAGAGUGCGGAAGAGGCGAGUGGAAUUCCUGGUGUAGCGGUGAAAUGCGCAGAUAUCAGGAGGAACACCGAUUGCGAAGGCAGCUCGCUGGGACGUAACUGACGCUGAGACGCGAAAGCGUGGGGAGCAAACAGG
rnacentral:rRNA from 1 species